rnacentral:tRNA from 1 species
CGGGGUAUGGCUCAGUUGGCUAGAGCGCCGCUUUUGGGAAGCGGAGGCCGGAGGUUCGAGUCCUCCUACCCCGA